rnacentral:rRNA from 1 species
CCUACGGGAGGCAGCAGUGAGGAAUAUUGGUCAAUGGGCGAGAGCCUGAACCAGCCAAGUCGCGUGACGGAUGACGGCCCUACGGGUUGUAACCUUCUUUUGUCAGGGAGCAAUUUUGUCCACGCGUUGGCUUAGCGAUAGUACCUGCAGACAACGCAUCGACUAACUCCGUGCCCGCAGCCGCGGUCAUACGGAGGAUGCGAGCUUUAUCCGAAUUGAUUUGGUUUAAAGGGUGCGUGGGCGGAAUAUCUAGUCAGCGGUAAAAAUUCGGGGCUAAACCCCGUCGUGCCGUUGAAACUGAUGUUCUUGAGUGGGAGAGAAGUAUGCGGAAUGCGUGGUGUAGCGGUGAAAUGCAUAGAUAUCACGCAGAACUCCGAGUGCGAAGGCAGCAUACCGGCGCCCAACUGACGCUGAAGCACAAAAGCGUGGGUAUCGAACAGGAUUAGAUACCCUUGUAGUC